CCCAGUGUGGUGUAGUGGUUUGAGUGUUUGACUAGGACUCUGAAGAGCAGGGUUUGAAUCCCCACUUGGC
rnacentral:tRNA from 1 species